ACUCCAGCUUCUGCCAGACAGAUGGAACUCUCCAACGUGAAAAUCUGCGCAGCCAUUCCAACAAGCGGGACUCCGCCUGGUGUUGGCCGAAGGAUGCCGAAGAAAAAGCUUUAAGGACUGGGACGCUCUUACCCCAAGAUUGAGGUUUCUCAUUGGCCAGUACAGUGAAGGUUGAUGGCAUGAUCAUUCACUUCACAUCAAAGGAUAUCUACUCAUCAGUGUGCUGUUGU